rnacentral:rRNA from 1 species
CAGCCGCCGCGGGAAUACGGAGGGAGCUAGCGUUAUUCGGAAUUACUGGGCGUAAAGCGCACGUAGGCGGCUUUGUAAGUUAGAGGUGAAAGCCUGGAGCUCAACUCCAGAAUUGCCUUUAAGACUGCAUCGCUUGAAUCCAGGAGAGGUGAGUGGAAUUCCGAGUGUAGAGGUGAAAUUCGUAGAUAUUCGGAAGAACACCAGUGGCGAAGGCGGCUCACUGGACUGGUAUUGACGCUGAGGUGCGAAAGCGUGGGGAGCAAACAGGAUUAGAUACCCCUGUAGUCCCUGUCUCUUAUAC